GCUCCGCUCUCCGAUCCAAAUGUCGCGUUGCACGCCGCGACCGCCGCGCAGUUCCCGGCGCCCCGUCGUCCCAUCAAGACGGCGGUCGCUGAUAAUCCGCGAUCCGUCCCCUGCCUGAUGUUGCCAUGCCACGCCACCUCGCUGCCUCUAGGUUGGUUAAAAAUUAGCCUGAACAUGGUAAUCAAUUUGAGGCAUCACUUGCAACUUGGGAUGGUCUUCUCAACCAUUGCCUGACUCGCUUGCAACUUGGGAUGGUCUUCUCAAGUCUCAACCAUCACCUGGCUUGAGGUAUCACAGCAUCCAAGGCAGUUCUCACUGCCCAAUCUAAUCUGAGAAACCUUUUUGUUGGCAAUGAAAAGAUUGGUGUUUUGCUGAGUCUUGGGUGCCCAGAGACUCUUGACGAUGUGUAGCCUUUCUUGUUUAAUCUUUUUUAUACCCUGUGAUCACCAUACUGCAAAGCGAUACUUGCCUCUGAGUUUUUUACUCGCUAUAUAUGGUUUUCGUACUUUUACUUUGCAGGUUUAACAAUUGUGGCGCAAAAUUAAUUAGUGGUUUGUUACAUAAAUGUACAGCAGGUUUAAAUACUGCACAUAUGUGGGGAGCUAAUUUUUCGUAAUCCCAUUUUUUGUUGUGUCACUAAUCAACAUUGGAGCCUAACUUUCUAACAUCAUCUUAUGAUUGCUCGAGCUAGAAAGGCAGAUAUAUAGAUGCAAGUUACUACUGUAUUUAAGUAAAUUUGCCAAUUGCCGUGCCUGCCAUGCACUGAAUUUCUUAGCAAUGUGGAUUUCUUAGCCAUGAAUCAUAGAGCAAUGUGGAUUUCGUAGCCAUGAACACAGAAGUGUAUGUUGGAAUGCGGUAUUGGCAUCCCUUCACUGAAGAAGCCAUAGACCCCAAGUAGGCGCUUGCCAUAUAUCCAAAAUACUUCUGUGUUCUGUGCCUCUAGGCUGGUUAAAAAUUAGCCUGAACAUGUCCAAUUCAGACUGUUUUCAGUCGAGCUACCCCAAAACAGCUGAUUGGAAACUAAAUACCUCAUAAUUCUGCUUGUAAACUCCUCAACCAACCAACAUCAAAGUUAUAGAUAUGACAUUUAACUACAUUUUUUCGUUCAUGCACAUCUUCAAUUUCUGCCUCUAACAAGGUUUAAAAAUCAAGCAGAACAGAGCAGGUUCAGCCUGUUUUCAUGUUUUCAGCAUUUUUGCUCAAACUGCCUGACUUUGAAUUCAAGUUUGAAGACUUUGAUGCAUGUUUACAUAGGGACAAAUGGUAUAUUUGUGCAGCCGGGACAAUCAUCUUUCCAUUUUGGUACUUGCCAUCCAAAGUUGCUACAUCAAAAAAUCAUUUUAUUCAUGUCCAAAGUUGACCAUUUUCACUGUUUUUCAGACUUAGUAACAGGAUCUGAUUCAAUACCGGGGACCUCUGAACAACUAUGAAACUUAGUACCCAUUAUAUGGUACCCAUCUUGAUGCUGGCAGCUUACAUAACUACAAACUGAUAUGUAGUAUAAGCCACCAUCUGCUUCAUUAACCUAAAUCCUAGACUGCUAUCCUUCUCUGAAUUUUUGGGUUUUUUACAUGUUCCACUUCCUGUUUUUGGGUUCGUGCGAAAGCAAAUGGAUCCUCUAAACAACACUCAAGAUGGCCGCCGACUUAGAAGAGAGCGGGAAAGGUUCCUUGCUGCAUCGAUGACAGACGAGCAGAGGGAGGAAAAGAACAGGAAGCUGCGUGAAGCAUCAAUGACAGAUGAGCAGAGGGAGGAAAAGAAUAGAAAGCGGCAUGAGGCAUAUAAGAGGAAGAAGUGUCAGUCACACAACAAGGAAAAUGAUCCAGGUUUGCAUAUGAUCGAGUUAACGAUUAAAGUGUUAGUGUCCAUCUGAUCCCCUUUUAGUUCGCAGUGGAUUUCAAUACGAGUAUAUCCUAAUACUAAUGCGGCGGACGUAUGCAUCAUUUCUAACACCCCGGAACAUACAACUGGCGCGUCUUUGCUCAGACGAGAAAAAGAAAGACGGAAAACAGAGCAGAGCAAUUUCUGCAGCUGAAGAACAAGUUGCUGGAGGUCCUGCUGACAGAGUGUUAAACCAGCUGCUGAUUCAGAUGAAUGGCAUGAAUGCCAAGAAGACUGUUUUCAUCAUUGGUGUAGACUUGUGGACAAUGGCAUCCAUGUAAACUUCCGUGAGAUAAUUGAAGUAGCAUCAUACUAUGUUUAGUGUUUAAAUGUUCUCCAAACCUCAUACUGUUUAGCUGUGAUUGCUAGCACCCCAUCAUCGAACAAAGCCAGGGCCAAGUGUCCAUUAGUGCUUGCAGGUGUUUGGCAUAGUACUACACGCCGAAUAGUUCGGUAUUCACUAUUUUGAUGGCCCUCGAUAGUGGUGAAUGAUGGAAGUGGGACAUAUG